rnacentral:rRNA from 1 species
UACGAAGGGGGCUAGCGUUGCUCGGAAUCACUGGGCGUAAAGCGCACGUAGGCGGAUUGUUAAGUCAGGGGUGAAAUCCUGGAGCUCAACUCCAGAACUGCCUUUGAUACUGACGGUCUUGAGUCCGGGAGAGGUGAGUGGAACUCCGAGUGUAGAGGUGAAAUUCGUAGAUAUUCGGAAGAACACCAGUGGCGAAGGCGGCGCACUGGCCCGGUACUGACGCUGAGGUGCGAAAGCGUGGGGAGCAAACAGG